rnacentral:tRNA from 1 species
GGACAGGUCGCAUAGUGGUCUAGUGCGCCGCACUCGAAAUGCGGUGAGGUGCAAGCCUCCGUGGGUUCGAAUCCCACCCUGUCCGCCA